CCCAGAUUAAGUAAUCUCAGUUUUGUAAUUAGUCUCUCACAUGGAGAGGAGACCUCCCCUCCUGAUGCCUGGUCACCCUGCAGCCUUUAAAAAGCACCUCAAAGGCACCCAGUGAUGGGAGAUCUCUGGGAAGGGAGAUUUCACCUUCUGGAAGCAUGCUGGUGACAGAAGAGGCGUGUGCUGCAGCAGUCCCAGGAGCCACCAUGCCCCAGGAGCCCCAGCAGACGGAUUUCCAGCUGGUGCGAGUCAGGAGCACGUGGUGCCGCAUCAAGAAAGGAGAAGCCCUUUCCAACGACGAGGAUGAGAUCACUCUCUCUGAGGCAAAAAUAGGUGAGCGCAUCUCCGAAGGUGGGAUUUCCUGGAUAAUUGAAGCUCCCAUCUAUUUUUGCUACAAAGUGGUAGAAACAUACAACAUUCUGGAACCCUCUAACACCACUCUGCUCUGGGGUCACAUCACUGACCCCCAGCAAAUAGAGCUCGCCACAGCCAGCAAGAGGAAACUGCGGCGCUUUAUCGUCAUAGACGAAGUGGUCGACAAACUUUACGGCUCCAAAGUCAGAGAGUACUUCGAAGAGAACAACGUCCAGCACAAAAUCCUCGCCCUGCCGACCACUGAGGAAACAAAAUCCAUGGACUUGGUGCUGAACAUCUUGCACGAGGUCCAGAACUUCAGCCUGGACCGGCGGACGGAGCCCAUCAUCGCCAUCGGCGGGGGCGUGUGCCUGGACAUCGUCGGCCUCGCCGCGUCGCUCUACAGGAGACGCACGCCCUACAUUCGGGUCCCCACCACCCUCCUCUCCUACGUGGAUGCCAGCGUGGGGGCCAAGAACGGGGUGAACUUUCUGCAGUGUAAGAACAAGCUCGGGGGCUACACCCCGCCCGUGGCGAGCUUCCUGGAUAGAUCCUUCAUCCAGAGCAUCCCGCGGCGACACAUCUCCAAUGGCCUCGGGGAAAUUUUAAAGAUGGCCCUCAUGAAACACAAAGGGCUGUUUGACCUGCUCAAGAGCCAUGGAAAAUACCUACUGGACACUAAGUUCCAGUCUUGUAACAGCUUUGCUCACCAUGGGGAUGCUGCACUGCAGACUACCAGGAUUGCCAUUGAAACCAUGCUGGAAGAGCUGGCUCCCAACCUCUGGGAAGAUGACCUGGACAGACUGGUUGAUUUUGGCCACCUUAUUAGCCCAGAGCUGGAAAUGAGGGUUUUGCCGUCGCUGAUGCACGGGGAAGCUGUGAACGUCGACAUGGCAUUCAUGACGUACGUGGCCCACGCGCGCGGGCUCCUGGGCGCCGAGGAGAAGGAGCAGAUCCUGCAGUGCAUGCGGGGCCUGGAGCUGCCGGUCUGGCACAGCGGCUGCAGCUGGGCCCUCAUCCAGAGAGCCCUGCGGGAGCGCCUCAAGCACGGCGGGGGACAGCCACGGAUGCCCCUGCCCACCGGCCUCGGCGUGGCAGACAUAUUCAAUGACACCAGUGAAGAGACCCUGGAAAGAGCAUACAAGCUGUGGGUCAAGGACUGCAAGAUGGAGCUGGAGGAAGAGCUGCAAGCCCAAGGUGAUGGUCCUGCCCGAAGUCUGAGCUGUUUGCCCCUGUAAGGUAGUGGGCAGAACUGGAUUUUGAACAAGAUGAAUCCAGAAGCACCUGUGAUACUGCAUACACUCCAGAGCUGUGUGGAACAAGCAGAAUAUUGGCAUCUGAUGUGAUUUGCCUUUUUCAAUUGCUUUGUUUGAAUGGGAAUCUAUUAUUGCUGAAGAAGUGAUCGCUCACAAGUGAAACCACCGAGUGCCAGUAGUGUAGUUCAUAGCAAAUGGUCUUCUUCCAGGGAGAGCAAGCAGGAUUAUUCAUUUAUUUAGUUAAUCCAAGCUGGUAACUGCCAUGGCCCUUGCCACUGGUAUCCCACCAUUGCUUGGGCUUGGACCCCUGACACAAGCAGGUGUAGCUGGCUCAUAGAGCAUGGUAUGGCACCAGACAAAACUUCUAUGCUAUAUAAAAUAUUUCAAGUAGGUUAUCACCUUCACUGGUCAUUCUUUUCUUUGUGUUCUUCUUGUUUUCUCUCAUUCAAAAGAGAAAAACAAAGAAGCUCAUCUGCCAGUCUGAGGGAAUGACACACUCGGAUUAGAGGCACCAUCACAAGUCACAGAUCAGUAAAUACUGCUGCUGUGGAGCUCUGUGGGGGCUGACUCCUGGCAGUAUGGCAGCCCUUUGUCUUGGGACUCUCAGGACAUGCUGGCAAGUCUCCUCUUGCAGCUGAAAUGUUUGUGGUGAUUUCAUUCUGUAAUCCCUGCAGCCACCGGCGUGACAAACAGGGCACAGUUUGCAGCACUGCUGGCUAAGAACAAAGUUGGGCUCCUGGCAGUAUUGCAGAACCCCCUGGUGUCCCCACAUCUGCCACGGGGCUCCCUGUACCUGUCAGACCCUGGCUCCUUUCCCAUCUCAGCCUCUUCUGGUUAGAUAAGGCCAGCUGGGGAAAACCAAGAGAAAUUAGAGGAGUCCAAGCAAGUUCAUCAUCUUCAAGAAGUUGCAGUGUCGUGUCUCAGGAUCCUGGCAGACCCAGAUCAUAUUAUAUAAUGGAUGGUGAUGGUAAAAAAUGUAAAAUUAAUGCCAUCCUUCUUCCUGGUGGUCCAAUCAAAGGAAUUGCAAUCAACAAACAGCCUUUGAAUUAUUGACAACAUUAUUUGUUUUUUCCCCUGCUGUUUUUGUCGCACACCAGUUUGUUCUAAUGUGCUGGCUUCUGUUCUGCUGAAGUAAUAAAAGCU
ensembl:lncRNA